UGCUCUGAUGAAAUCUCUUAUAGGAAGUGCCGUCAGAUGCGAUAACUGACGAUAACCAUUCCUGGCUGACU
ensembl:snoRNA small nucleolar RNA, C/D box 49A